rnacentral:rRNA from 1 species
ACCUACGGGGCGCAGCAGUGAGGAAUAUUGGUCAAUGGGAGAGAUCCUGAACCAGCCAAGCCGCGUGAGGGAAGACGGCCCUAUGGGUUGUAAACCUCUUUUGUCGGAGAACAAACGGCGGCACGCGUGCCGUCCUGAGGGUACCCGGAGAAAAAGCAUCGGCUAACUCCGUGCCAGCAGCCGCGGUAAUACGGGGGAUGCGAGCGUUAUCCGGAUUUAUUGGGUUUAAAGGGCGCGUAGGCGGGAUGCCAAGUCAGCGGUCAAAUACGGGGGCUCAACCUGCGUCCGCCGUUGAAACUGGCGUU